rnacentral:rRNA from 1 species
UAGGGAAUCUUCCGCAAUGGGCGAAAGCCUGACGGAGCAACGCCGCGUGAGUGAUGAAGGUCUUCGGAUCGUAAAACUCUGUUAUUAGGGAAGAACAAAUGUGUAAGUAACUAUGCACGUCUUGACGGUACCUAAUCACAAAGCCACGGCUAACUACGUGCCAGCAGCCGCGGUAAUACGUAGGUGGCAAGCGUUAUCCGGAAUUAUUGGGCGUAAAGCGCGCGUAGGCGGUUUUUUAAGUCUGAUGUGAAAGCCCACGGCUCAACCGUGGAGGGUCAUUGGAAACUGGAAAACUUGAGUGCAGAAGAGGAAAGUGGAAUUCCAUGUGUAGCGGUGAAAUGCGCAGAGAUAUGGAGGAACACCAGUGGCGAAGGCGACUUUCUGGUCUGUAACUGACGCUGAUGUGCGAAAGCGUGGGGAUCAAACAGG